UACGAAGGGGGCUAGCGUUGUUCGGAAUUACUGGGCGUAAAGCGUAUGCAGGCGGAUCGUUAAGUCGGGGGUGAAAUCCCGAGGCUCAACCUCGGAACUGCCUUCGAUACUGGCGAUCUUCGAGUCCGGGAGAGGUGAGUGGAACUCCGAGUGUAGAGGUGAAAUUCGUAGAUAUUCACAAGAACACCAGUGGCGAAGGCGGCUCACUGGCCCGGUACUGACGCUGAGGUGCGAAAGCGCGGGGAGCAAACAGG
rnacentral:rRNA from 1 species